CAUUAAAGGAAACAUUUGUUUGCCCUAUGUGGAGGAACGGCGAAGCAGAGGAGGAGGAAGACAACAUGGACGAAGAUCAUAUCGUGAAGUUCGUAGAGAUUUACCUGAAGAAGAAGGGCUUCAAGCAAGCGGAGAUCGCUUUCCAAGAAGAGGUUCAUAAAAGCAACAGCAGCACCGCCAAUACCUACAACAACUAUGGCGAUCUCCACUCGGACUCCGAAUUCUCGAAGCUUAUCCUCUUAUUUUCACGGUACUCUUUUCUCUUUCAUUAUUAUCUGUGAAGCUAAUAAUCUCUUGGAGGAUACGGUGCUGUGAUAUUCUCUUGAAUUUUGGAUGCCAUGUUCUUGCUAGGGUUUAGAAAACUUAGGAACGACAAAACGUGAGAUUGAAUUCCUCAUCAACAAUUCAAACAAUUUGAUUUAUCUACGGUCGUUUUCUUUCUUUCUCUUAAAAAGUGAUUCCUAAUUUUUGAAACAAUGAUCUGGUUAGGAUUUAUGGCGUUCUAUUCAAAAUUUUCCAAUACAAGUUUCACGAUAAUUGCUUCUCUAUAAUCCCCCCGGAUAUCUCUACUAGAUUUGAUUCUCAAUAAUACCAGCGUUUGUAGAUUAUGAAUGCUGAUAUAUUUUGUUAAAUUACAAGUGAAGUUAUGAACAAAAGUGAAGGGAGCGUCGUCCUAAGGGCUAAGAAUCGAAGAUUCAGUUCUUAGGAUGGCACUCCCUUCACCCAUUAGUUGCUCUAAUAUACUACUUAUUUCCUAUAUAUACUCCUAAAUUGUAUGAAUGAGGGCUAAAUAACCUGAAAGAAAUAAAAAACCACACGGCAUGUAGGUGUGAAUGCGAUGGAUAUGAACAAGAGUGGGAGAUGCUGGGAGGGGAGAGGACUUUCUCUUCAUAUGUUUAAUUUUGUACGACUCAUCCCUACAUUCUUAUUUUUGGUGUCUAUUGAAAUGGAAAUUAUUGUUUUCCAGAUCAGAGAGUAGUCCAACACAGUACUAUGAUGGAUAUGAGACAUUAGACUUAUACAAGGUAGUCAGUUCUUAAGUGACACUGGAUCGCAACCAGGAGAAUGUGUGAUACUGGGUUGGGGUUUGGUGAACCAACUGGUCUAGCCAUUUCUUCUUGAGUGUUUUAUUUGUAAUAUUUGAUAUGUAGUUUUCCAGCUUGGCGACACUGAUGAUCCUUGAAUUAUUUAGCCUGAGUUACUAUGUGCGCUUUGUCCGGUAUUUAUCCAUUGUUUUAUGGAUCUGGCAGCAAAACGACACAUCCAAGAGGGUAUAGUUUGAAUGUCUCUACGUUGUUCAUUUUCUUCAUCAUAGAUUGCAACAGUUUCUAAAGUCUUCCACUAGUGGAAUAAUAUCUUACUUGAUCAAGGUAACAUGAUUGAUAUCCUCAGGUAGAAGCUUCUUCAAUAGGUUUCGUGGAGACCAUGAAGUCAUGCACUUAUGAGAUCUUCAGAAGUUGGGAGGAAUUCUUUCACCCUCCCAUCUCAAGGUUAUACAUUCCCGUCCCGAGCAUUGAAAUAAUAUUCCUAUUCAUUAGAUGUGGGACUCUCUUAAGAUAUCUUAUGGUCAAGCUCUUAAUCAGGAGAUGGAGUUUGCUCAUACGCUUAGGCAAAGCAAAGUCAACAUAAAGAUGUGUCAGUAAUCUUAUGAGCUUAUGCUCCAAUAUCUGCACGUCAGAAACCACAAUACUUGGGAUUAUCAAUAAUGAGCAUAUUAAUUUCCAAGGUGAAAAUCAUUGCUUGCAAGUGAGCCCUGUAUUUUCAGUAUUAAAGCUUCUUUUAUUCUUGGAGAGCAUAUAUUAAACACUAACUUUUGUUGGAGAUACCAGUGAUGAAGGUUUACUCCUCGCAUCGUGGGACGUGACCACCAAUCUAAAGAUGCGGAGAACUGAAGAAAGUAAGUUUAUUCCUGUCAAAUCAAUUAAUUGUGUAGAUCUCUGUGUUUUUUUUUUCCAUAAUAAUGUGGAGUAAUUUAAUCUCAAUAUUGUUGUUACUCAGUAAAAGUGGAAACUCAAACAGACUUAAAUCUUUAAAAACUCUGGUCAAGUCUUCUCCAGUCUCCCGGUUUUCUUGAAGGAUUCUUCUAUUCGCUGCUGGGGCUUUUACGAAAAGCAUGUAAAGUGUCUGCACAUUAAGGCAUGGAAUGGCCUUAUUUAUCUCCUGAUAUUGCUAGGCAUCUAAGAUGUCAUCUACGAAGCCAGGUUGUGUAUUUUUUACUUUCGGUGAUGGGUUUGAUCUAUUUGUCGAUUUGACUCUGGGAAGGCUUAAUAACGCCUCGUAGGCUUCAGACUUGGAUUACAAGAGGUCAAUUGAGGCCAACUAUGAAUGGGCUUAUUGUCCUACCACAAAAAAGAGCUGUUCUGUUGGAUCUUGUUCUUUGUACGUGGCUACGUGCCGACAAUUAUGUGCAGUUUAGAUGAGUUGCCCAACAGUUCGGGGUAAGGUAAGAUUGUUUUGGGGUGAACGAUGAAAGGCCGAAUAUCCGCAAUAAAUAAAGGCUUCUUCGCCCCAGUAAUUUUACACCA